GCUUCUUUAACUUAGAUUUAAGGGUAUUUUUUUCCUUUGACAUAAAGUAUCACCUGAACUUGUUUCAUAUGUCUUAUUUCAAGAAAAAUUUAUGAUCUUUUUAACAUUAGGAAGUUUUGCUUUUCCUGACAUUUUAUUACUCUGAGUUUUUGAAACAUUUCAAUCCCAGACAAUAAAUAUUAUGUGAUUAUUGUUUUCAUAUGGAUAGACUAUUUCCUCCUGUUUUUUCUAACCCCCUUCCCAGCUAAUAAUACUCAAAAAUUUAUUAAUAGUAGACUGUUCCAUUUGGCUUUUCCAGAAUCACAUGUAAUGAAAAUUGAAAGAGGGGCAGGUUUGAGAGAGGAGGGGUGGUAGUAGUUUUGUGGUUUUCUUUCCGUUGAAUUUCCAAUGUUUCUUGUUCAGUUGAAUAAAGAUUAUAUUUAUUCUGUAAAUCAUUUUUAUAAACUGUCAUAACCAGUUAUCAUAUUAAAUGGUAUCUUUUUAUGUCAUUAUUGAAGCUAAAUGGGUCUCAGCAAAGUACAUGGGUGUUUGCUGAGUUCCUCAUGAGUGCUCAGUGUUUAUAAGCACCCACCUUUAAAAGCUGUCCUUCUGGCUCCCUCGCCUUCAAGUCCGUUCUCAAAUAUCGCUUUCUCAAUUAAGGCCUUCUCUCACCACCCUUUAACCACUGACACACAGACCUCGGCCCUGGCUCACCAUAUGCCCCUUCCCUGCAUUCCUUUUUUCACUCUAACACUCACAUACCAUUUCAUAGACUUACUUAUUUUGUUUAUUAUCUCCUCCCUCUAGAAUGUAGACUGUCUGAGAUUAAAGAUUGUGGUCUGUUUUGUCUGCUGUGGUAUCCCCAGCCCUUAGAGCAGAGCCUGACAUAGUGCACAUGGGUCGGUAUUCUACUCAAUGAAUGAACAAAUGACCAGUCCUUAAUUCUGCAGAUCCUUGCAACACUCUGCUCAUGCCAUUGUACUCUGGUUCUUCUCCAGCCUUUGACUGUUCCUCUCACUCCUUCCUGGCUUGUCAUCUUACUCCAUGCCUCGACCGUUCUGGCCAUUAAGAAUAAAGCUGCUAUGAACAUGGAUGGACAAAGCUCUGUGUGGACUUACGUGUUUAUUUGUAUUUGGUAAACACCAAGGAGUGGGAUUACUGGGUCGUAAGCAAGCGAAUAUUUAAUUUUAUAAGAAACAACUGAAGUAUUUUCUGAAGUGGCUGUACCAUUUGGCAUUCCCACCAGAAAUAUGAGAUUUCUAGUUGCUCCAUAUCUUUGCCAGUAUUUGGUAUGAUCCAUUCUGUUGUUUAUUUGUGCUGUUUUGUUUUAAUUUUAGCCAUCCUAAUAGGUGGAUAGAGGUAUCUGACCAUGGUUUUACUUUGUGUUUCUCUGGUGACUAAUGAUAUAAAGUAUUUUUCAUGUGCUCAUUUGUCAUCUGUAUCUUUUCUUUGUUGAAGUGUUUGUUCAAACCUUUUGUCUAUUUCCAAAAAUUGGUUGGUUGUCUUCUUAAUACAAUAUAAGAGCUCUUUAUAUGUUCUAGAUACAGAAAAGUGUUUUUCACAUAUUUUCUCUGAGUCUGGGUCUUGACUUUUCUUUAAGUCAAGAAGUUGGAAGAGCUGAAAUUUUUAAUUUUGAAGGAGUCCAAUUUUUAAUCUUUUAUGGCUCCUAUUUUUUUGUGUCUUUUCUUAGAAGUCUUGAUGUAACCCAAGUGCACCUCCAAUGUUUCUUCUUGACAUUUUAAAUGUUAACUUUUACUUUUAGGUCUUUGAUUCAUUUUGAGUUUAUUUUUGAAUAUAAUAUAAAUAUACACAAAAGUAUAUUUUUGAGGUUCCCUUUUUUUUUCC
rnacentral:lncRNA from 1 species